rnacentral:misc_RNA from 1 species
AAAAUUUAUCUUAAUUUUUUUAAUAAUUAUUUAUAAAAUAUAUAAAAGUAUUAAUUAUAAUGAAGUAUCAUUAUUAAUAAUUUUAUAAUAUUUAUUUAAUAAUAUAUUUGUUAGACCUUGAUUCGACCUUAAUUAAACUUUAAACCUUUAACCCUUUAUCUUCAUUGAUGCAAUAACUAGGCCAGGUUUGAAAACAGUGGUUCCUAUACAUGCACCAUGGUCAGUAGGUUUACAAGGGAUAAAAUCCAUCUUUCCUUUAAUGAUGUGUUGCUUUUAGUGAUUGAGGUAGAGUGCACAGACCAGGACAUUGAGGGAACACGCUGAGUGGUUCGCUAGUUGCACAUGCGUUUAACAACUAAAAUUAUGUAGACUGAAAACUCUGCCCCAUCAUGUGUUGUGGUAUCAAAAUUGCUUGUAAACUUUAGAAAAUGAUGCUAGCUUGUCUCCAUCUGAAUAUUAUUAGGUCACUUUUGAAGUUUUUCUUUGUUUUGAAGUCAAUCAUGAUUCAUAUUAUAAUAUUGCUUUCUGAGCACUGUUCAGUUUUGCUUUAAGUACACUGGACCGAGAUUGGUCUUGAUAAUCACCACAAGUUUGGUAAAGAAGGUGUGGAUGGGAUUGAAGUGAUAUUAUUUCUACAUCAAAGAAUGAAUCUGGUGGGUAAAAUAUGGCAUAUUGAGUGGAACAAUACUUAAUUAUUUUCCCAUGAUCAAAUUACUAAAAUCACCUAUAAUUCCUUAUGUUUGAGAUUGUUGUUGGAUUUAUCAAAUGAAGCAUUUCAUGGUGUCUGUUUGCCGAGACCAGUUGUUUCAUAUUGCUAUUCCCCUUGAUUGGAAGAUGAGAAGAACCUUCUAUUUGCUCACCUGUGAGAUUAACUUAAGUGUUUUUAUGGCAAAAUGAAAAAUAUGAAAGUUUAGAACCAAUGAAAACAUUCAAACUACUCAUAAUUAUUUAUCAAGUUUUUAUGAAGAACUGUUAAAUGUGAAUUAAUAAAAAAAAAAUCAUAGAAUUCAUGUGUACUUGAGUUACUAUGCUAAGUAGUGGAAUGUAGAAUCCGGAAUCAGUGAUUAUUUAUUUAUUUAUUUUGUUCAACAAUUGAUAUUUGAGCAAACUUUUGGUUUGUUUGACCUUUGAAAAUUCCUAGAAAUUGAAGAAGAGAUAAACUUACAUUAGAUCUUUAACCUGCACUGGCACAUGAUAAUAUGAUGAUUCUUUGGUUUGUAGACCAUGGAGGUAUUUAAAAAAUCUAGUUUAAUCAUUUGCAUCUUGUGGUUUUUUAUAUCAUGUUUCUGUUCAUUCUUCUUCUUCUUCUUCGUCUUCCUCUUCUUCAUCAGCAGUGAUUGGCAAACCAAUCGCCUUCUAGGCUGUGUUUUGAGCUUUCUCAAGGAGUCAUGGCAAAGCCUCAUGUCACCCUGGAGGUUGGAAACGACGGCGUUGCUGUCAUCUCCAUGUCCAAUCCUCCCGUUAACGCCUUAGCGCUUCCAAUUAUUACGGGGCUGAAGGAGAAGUUCGAUGAGGCCGCGAGAAGAAACGACGUUCAAGCUAUCGUUUUGACGGGCAAGCAUGGGAAAUUUUCCGGUGGAUUUGAUAUCAGUGUCAUGCAGAAGGUUCACCAGACUGGGGAUGUGUCACUUGUGCCUGAUGUAUCUGUUGAUCUUGUGGUCAACACAAUUGAAGAUUGCAAGAAGCCUGUUGUUGCUGCUGUGGAAGGACUAGCACUAGGAGGUGGCUUAGAACUAGCAAUGGGAUGUCAUGCACGUGUGGUUGCACCUAAAACUCAACUUGGCUUGCCGGAGUUGACACUUGGAAUAAUUCCUGGGUUUGGAGGUACACAACGUCUUCCAAGGCUUACAGGACUGUCAAAGGCCAUUGAAAUGAUGCUGUCAUCCAAACCAAUCACAUCUGAAGAAGGGAUGAAGCUUGGUCUUGUUGAUGUUAUUGUGUCUUCUCAAGAACUGCUGAAAGUAUCUCGGCAAUGGGCUUUAGACAUUAAAGCGAGGCACAAACCAUGGAUGCGUUCUCUUUACAGGACAGAUAAGAUUGGCUCCCUGUCUGAGGCACGCAAGUUAUUGAAAGCUGCCAGACAACAGGCCAAGAAGACUGCUCCAAAUAUGCCUCAGCAUCAGGCAUGCCUUGAUGUGAUUGAAGAAGGUGUUGUUCAUGGAGGAUAUAAUGGAGUUCUAAAGGAAGCAAAAGUAUUCAAGGAGUUAGUUAUAUCAGACACAUCAAAAGGUCUCAUUCAUGUCUUUUUUGCUCAGCGUGCGACAUCGAAGGUGCCUAAUGUUACUAAUGUUGGGCUCAAAUCUAGGCAAAUAAAGAAGGUGGCUGUCAUUGGUGGAGGUCUAAUGGGUUCUGGCAUAGCUACUGCUCUUAUUAUGAGCAACAUAUAUGUUGUACUGAAAGAAAUAAACUCUGAAUAUCUUCUGAAAGGAAUAAAGAUGAUAGAAGGUAGUUACUACUUGUCAUGGGAUUGACAUUAAAUUACUGAUAUUAUCAUCCAUUCAAUGUUAUUUGGUUGCUUCUGUUGAUAUUGAAUUAGAGAAUUGAUUUCCUACUAAUUCCCUCUUCCCCUUCUUCUGUUGUUUCCAAUGCUGUCUUUUGGACUUUCCCCCUUCUUUCAUACUUCCUUUUCUUCUCCUGAUCUCUUCUCUAUCAUCUUUCUUCUAUUUCUCUAUUCUGUUCUGCAUCAACAGAAGUCUGGUUUAUGCAUAUGUCCAGCUGGAAAACCUGAAUUUGAACUCUUUAAACUAUGAACUAGGAAUGUGAUUAGGCCAAUCAUUUUCCAAAAAAUAAAAUUAUUCUUAAAUCCUACCAUCGUGUUUGUUUCCAUGUUUGAGAAAAUCAUGACAUUGAUUCACUUGACAGCAAAUGUUCGAGGCUUAGUAACAAGAGGAAAGUUGUUACAGGAUAAGGCAGACAAAGCCCUUUCAAUGCUCAAAGGUGUAUUGGAUUACUCAGAAUUCAGAGAUGUUGAUAUGGUCAUAGAGGCAGUUAUUGAAAGUAUUCCUCUGAAACAAAAAAUUUUUAUUGAAAUUGAGAAGGCCUGCCCUCCUCACUGCAUCUUGGCAACAAAUACAUCUACCAUUGACCUCAAUAUAAUUGCAGAAAAGACCAGCGCUCAAGAUCGUGUUAUAGGUGCACACUUUUUCAGUCCUGCUCACAUAAUGCCUCUUCUGGAGAUUGUACGCACGGACAAGACUUCUGCGCAAGUAAUUCUUGAUCUCAUGACGGUUGGGAAAUCUAUAAAGAAAGUUCCUGUUGUGGUGGGUAACUGCACUGGCUUUGCAGUCAACCGCACUUUCUUCCCCUAUACACAAGGUGCACAUAUUCUGGUCAAUUUAGGUGUCGACGUGUUCAGAAUUGACAGGGUGAUCAGCAAUUUUGGCCUUCCAAUGGGCCCUUUCCUGUAAUUUUUUUUCUUAAUGCUAUAAUCUACUUUUUGCUUGGUUUUAUGUGGGUAUAUAAUAUGCUGCAGCAUGCGUUUACCACUUGAACACAAUUUGAGAUGUGUUUUCAGUUAAUUUCAUGCCAUAGGGUCUUUUUUUUUUUAUUAUUCAGUUUUCUGGUGCGACUUCAAGAUCAUGAAGAAAUGGGGAUAUUAGUUCUUCUAUAGAAAGGGAAUUUCCUGUACAACCAAAAUCUAUUGAUAAAGAAUAACAGGAUUUACAUUCUUUGCCAGAAUAUUGCCAAUAUGAAAGCAACACUGACUACCAGCAAUGCUCAAAUUAUGUUGUAAUCAUGGUCUACUAUAAUAUGUUCCCCUCUAGCUAACACUGCACCAUUAUGUGGUGCUUAUGUGGGUCCUGUUGGAUUCUAAGCUGCUCUGGUGUGCAACUUUUUCAUUUUGUUGUUUAUGUAGGUUGUUCGAUGAAGGUCUAUUCACUUUUUAGUCUGUAACAUAAUUAAGUAAAAUCUAUUGGAAGAAGAAAUUCCUUUGUCAUUUAAAACUAUGGAAGUACCUAUCCUUGAAAAUCAUUUUGGUUUUUGCCAAUAUUAAGAAUUGCCUUCUGCUGUAAUGGAGUUAUCUUCCAAGCUUGCAUGUGUAUUUGCUUCUUUGGUUGUGUUUAAGAUGGGUGAUAUAUCAUGCAUCUCUAUGGUUAAUUUGCAGGCUUCAGGAUUUAGCUGGAUAUGGAGUUGCUGUUGCAGUGGGAAAAGAGUUUGCUAAUGCAUUCCCUGAUCGCACAUUCUUGUCUCCAUUAGUUGAACUUUUAAUUAAAAGUGGACGAAAUGGUAAAAACAAUGGGAAAGGGUACUACAUUUAUGAAAAGGGAAGCAAGCCAAAACCUGAUCCUUCAGUGAUACCAAUCAUUGAGGAGUCUAGGCGGCUUACCAAUAUUAUGCCUAAUGGAAGGCCCAUAAAUGUCACUGACCAAGAGAUAGUGGAGAUGAUACUCUUUCCAGUAGUGAAUGAAGCAUGCCGUGUUCUGGAUGAGGGAGUGGUAGUUCGAGCAUCAGAUCUUGACAUUGCAUCUGUUCUGGGAAUGAGUUUCCCAGCCUAUCGGUAAGUAAUUUUUGUGGAUGACAAGUAACCUAGUUGAUCUCUUUUAAAACAACCUUACUGUAAACCUUUCCUCUGCUUUGUUCUAAAUAUUUUGAGUGCAUAUGGCAGUUGAGGAUUAGUGUAGAUACUGCAGCAAGGCAUUAUAGUCCACAUGAGCUGCAAGUCCUUGCAGACAUGUUUACAAAUUGGACUGUUUUGUGCUGAUGAGCUGUAUUUCUCUUAAAUGCAUAAUAUCAGUGCAAAUAAUUAGAAUUAGAUUACGAACUUUAUUAAUGGAAGGUGAAUUCUGAGCUCUUGUAACACAUUAUCAGAUGACAUCUGUGGCUAUGUUCAAAGAGAUUUUGUAUGAGUUCUUUCUUGAACUUGGCUACUAAGAUGGUCCAUUAGUCGGCUAAGUUAAAGUUUCAUAUAAUGGUCACAAUCUCCCCUGCAUAUGUUUGUAAAUAAUUGAGUCUGCUGUGAACUGUGACAGCCCACCUGUUAUUUAAAAGUUGAUGGCAAGUCUUCUUGGGGCAAUCAUAUCUCACGGUAAUCAUUCUUUUGUGGCAGUGGUGGCAUUGUUUUUUGGGCAGACAUGGUUGGAUCCGAACACAUAUAUACAAGUCUGAAGAAAUGGUCUCAAUUAUAUGGUGACUUCUUCAAACCAUCAAGGUAUUUGGAAGAAAGGGCAUCAAAAGGCAUGUUGUUGAGUGCCCCUGCUUCAGCGUCCAGAUCUCGCAUGUAGGCUAUAAUUCUGAAGAGAGUGCUCAAGCAUUAUGUGAUUCAGUGAAAUAAAGUUAAUUAUUUUUUUCCUUGUACUGGCAUAAAUCCAAAGGCAAUAAGAGUCUGGUUUCAGAAGAGGCUCAUUGUUUCAGAUGCUAUGUUCUCGGAACUCUUUUCCAA